rnacentral:rRNA from 1 species
GAACUGAAGAGUUUGAUCAUGGCUCAGAUUGAACGCUGGCGGCAGGCCUAACACAUGCAAGUCGAGCGGCAGCACGGGUACUUGUACCUGGUGGCGAGCGGCGGACGGGUGAGUAAUGCCUAGGAAUCUGCCUGGUAGUGGGGGAUAACGCUCGGAAACGGACGCUAAUACCGCAUACGUCCUACGGGAGAAAGCAGGGGACCUUCGGGCCUUGCGCUAUCAGAUGAGCCUAGGUCGGAUUAGCUAGUUGGUGAGGUAAUGGCUCACCAAGGCGACGAUCCGUAACUGGUCGGAGAGGAUGAUCAGUCACACUGGAACGGAGACACGGUCCAGACUCCUACGGGAGGCAGCAGUGGGGAAUAUUGGACAAUGGGCGAAAGCCUGAUCCAGCCAUGCCGCGUGUGUGAAGAAGGUCUUCGGAUUGUAAAGCACUUUAAGUUGGGAGGAAGGGCAGUUACCUAAUACGUG